UCAGGUCCUUCACAUGCCCCAGUUGUCUCCACCACUCAAACGCUGCACCGAUGUUGACUCGGGUCUGACUUCUUUCUUUAUCCAGAGCCUAUUCUGUUGCAGCAUUUUCUGCCUCAGGAUUUUUUUCCUUGCCUUAUUAGCAGGGCGAGCGGUUACAUUUUGCAUUUUCUCUGCCAUUGUAGCCAAAUGAACUUCUUCUCCUCCAACUCCAUAUUUCCAUAUUUCUUCAAAGGAGUGUGCUGAAUAUUUCCGGCAUCAGUGAAACGCAACGUGUGCACGCGCAGAGGAGGGAGGGACAGAGGGGGGCGCAGGCAGAAGGAGACAUGAAGGCAUCUGACCAAUCCGAGCUAUUCAGGCUGAAAAGGACAGAUUGGUCAGCUUUUUCUCAGUCCUGCAGCUGCUACAGUGGUCUGAUUAUUUUCGUUCCUUUUUCUGAAUACAUAAUAUGUUGACAACUCUCAGGAUAGCAGGACCAUUUCACCCAGUAUAACAAAAUGUGUUUCUGAACAACAUUACAGACCCUAGCUUUAAGUUCCUGGUAAAAGUUAAGCUAAAUAGAGGCUGAAAAAAAGGACAGAGCUGAGUGGAGACACUUGAGAGGUUCUGGCUCUGGCGUGUGUGAGCUGACCAAUCAGAGCAGACUAGGUAUUUGAGAGAGGGAGGGACCUUAAAGGCACAGGAGCUAAAACAGAGUGUCUCAGACAGAAUGCAGCACUGCAGAACUGGAUGCAUUCCAUAAACAUUAAAGCACCUUAACCACUAGUGUUGUGAUGAACCAUACAGCUAGCAUGGUGCUAAUGUUAAUUCAAUAUGCCACCAAAUGUUUCACUUUCAAUUUCACAGUCCUGAGGAGGAGUUUAGCAAACACAUUUGGGAUCACGGAGGUUCUUAUAAAAUGAACGGACUUCAGGUUGACUUGCAUACAGAGAUGUUCCAACUCCAUGGUCAAGAUAUGUGAAUAGCACCUUCAGUCCAGAUAGAAGGACAGAGCCGACUGCUGGCAGGCCAUUUUCCAUCCUAUGACUUUAGCCGCGAGGUGCACGGCGGUCCUCGUUUUCGCACUUUUUGUCUGCACACGUGAGGAGCCACGGGGAGAUGUGCCCAGUAUAACAGCCCUCUCAGCAAGUUCAGGGUAAUGAGCCUGUGCCAGCUGAGAAGGAGAACCGGUAGCUGCAACAGAUGCUGAGAGGAAACUGCAUCAUAGCGCUGUCCACACGAGAAAGCACACGCAGUCACCACUUGACUCGUCUCCACCAAGACGCUCCCUCCAGUGCUUCGCUGCCCCAGGGCAGGGCGCCCCAGGUUCCAGGCAGCUGCAGCACCAUCUAACAGCGGGGUAUGAGGCUCGUACACCACAAAUAUACACACACAUAAGCACACACACCCAAGCCUCAGAAGUUAUUCCCCACUGUUUGUCAUCACGCUUCUUUGUCACUCAUUAAUACGAGUGGCAUGGCAUCAAACAUAAUGAGCCCGAAGCGGCGUGUGGAGCCGGGACGUGCUAGCAGACAGGUUUUCUACAACCCUGAUUCCACAGAAGCUGGAACACUGUCUGACACUUAAUCAAUGGAAAACUGUACUGUACCAACUGGCUGUUAAAAACGUAAAAGUCCGUCUCUGGAGUCAGCGUUUGGUUUGUUUGUCUAUGAGCAUUAAACCAUAUAAACUUAUUCUAGAAGUAACUCAAACUAUGAAAGCUGAAAAUUAGCAUAAUAGGUCUCCUUCAGUUUACUACAGGAAGCAUUUCUUAGCCUGUCCAAAAAAAAAUAUCAUAAUAUGUUCCAUUUGUUGUUUGUAGAGUUAUUUUCUUAUCCAAGCUGUUGUUCUAGAAUGGGUCAGAAAUGAAUUAGUAAAUUGCUUUAAAAAUCUGUCUGUCACACAACUGAUGGAUUUCAGCGAUUUAAACGUCUGUGGCUGACAUAAAGGUCAAAAUGCCAUCUCUCUGACAGAUCGUUUAAGGCUGGAAAUGAAUUAAUGCGUUGAGAAAAUGAAGGAACCAUAAAGGAAUGUGUAUGGUGUCAGCGUCCUUGACUGACAUCUCGAGCCCCAGAUUAGUCUCAUGCAUAAGUAAUGCCAGUGGAGGCCAAAUUUGCUUGCUCUGAUUUUGCGAGGUGCAAACAGCGUCUCGUGCUUCACCUCGCCCUGGGUUUAACACAGAUUAGAACAGAGUUGCCAAUGAGAACUUGAUGUGGACAAAAAACAGGCUUGUGCUGCGUGUUACCAGCUGCUUUGGGGGGGGGACAAUGCAAGGCUUGUAACUCGGCUGUUAAAAAGAAUUCUAAAUGCAGACUACAUUUCAGUGAAUUAAUGAAUCGGGGAUGGAGGAGCUGGCGGUCAACAGUUCACCUCCAUCAGCUCGGUAACAAAACUGGUGAGCAGAAAUGUAAUACCCCCGCGUGAUUGUC